GCGUCCGCCUACUCCACGCAAAUAGGCUGGCGUACAUGCGAAAAGGAGGUUAACCCAUCCCGCAGGGCCCGCGGUGCGGCAGUGUGGAGACCUGUCGUAAUAUGGUUCACCGAGAAGAACACGGUGACAUGAGGACGCGGCAAAGGACCGCCGCGUUCAGGGCUGUAACGCAAUGGCA
rnacentral:ncRNA from 1 species